AGAGUUUGAUCCUGGCUCAGGAUGAACGCUGGCGGCGUGCUUAACACAUGCAAGUCGAACGAUCCUUCGGGAUAGUGGCGGACGGGUGAGUAACGCGUGGGAAUCUGCCCUCAGGAGGGGGAUAACGGCUGGAAACGGCCGCUAAUACCCCAUAUGCCGAGAGGUGAAAUGAAUUUCGCCUGAGGAUGAGCCCGCGUCUGAUUAGCUAGUUGGUGGGGUAAUGGCCUACCAAGGCAACGAUCAGUAGCUGGUCUGAGAGGAUGAUCAGCCACACUGGGACUGAGACACGGCCCAGACUCCUACGGGAGGCAGCAGUGGGGAAUUUUCCGCAAUGGGCGAAAGCCUGACGGAGCAACGCCGCGUGAGGGAUGAAGGCCUCUGGGCUGUAAACCUCUUUUCUCAAGGAAGAAGACCUGACGGUACUUGAGGAAUAAGCCACGGCUAAUUCCGUGCCAGCAGCCGCGGUAAUACGGGAGUGGCAAGCGUUAUCCGGAAUUAUUGGGCGUAAAGCGUCCGCAGGCGGCCUUGUAAGUCUGUUGUUAAAGCGUGGAGCUCAACUCCAUUUAAGCAAUGGAAACUACAAGGCUGGAGUGUGGUAGGGGCAGAGGGAAUUCCCGGUGUAGCGGUGAAAUGCGUAGAUAUCGGGAAGAACACCAGUGGCGAAGGCGCUCUGCUGGGCCAUAACUGACGCUCAUGGACGAAAGCCAGGGGAGCGAAAGGGAUUAGAUACCCCUGUAGUCCUGGCCGUAAACGAUGAACACUAGGUGUCGGGGGAAUCGACCCCCUCGGUGUCGUAGCCAACGCGUUAAGUGUUCCGCCUGGGGAGUACGCACGCAAGUGUGAAACUCAAAGGAAUUGACGGGGGCCCGCACAAGCGGUGGAGUAUGUGGUUUAAUUCGAUGCAACGCGAAGAACCUUACCAGGGUUUGACAUCCUGCGAACCCCUGAGAAAUCGGGGGGUGCCUUCGGGAGCGCAGAGACAGGUGGUGCAUGGCUGUCGUCAGCUCGUGUCGUGAGAUGUUGGGUUAAGUCCCGCAACGAGCGCAACCCACGUCUUUAGUUGCCAGCAUUCAGUUGGGCACUCUAGAGAGACCGCCGGUGAUAAACCGGAGGAAGGUGUGGAUGACGUCAAGUCAUCAUGCCCCUUACAUCCUGGGCUACACACGUACUACAAUGCUACGGACAAAGGGCAGCAAGCUCGCGAGAGUUAGCAAAUCCCAUAAACCGUGGCUCAGUUCAGAUCGUAGGCUGCAACUCGCCUACGUGAAGGAGGAAUCGCUAGUAAUCGCAGGUCAGCAUACUGCGGUGAAUACGUUCCCGGGCCUUGUACACACCGCCCGUCACACCAUGGAAGUUGGCCAUGCCCGAAGUCGUUACUCCAACCCUUGUGGAGGAGGACGCCGAAGGUGGGGCUGAUGACUGGGGUGAAGUCAACAAGGUA
rnacentral:rRNA from 1 species